AGGUAGUUUACUACCUUUGCCGGCGAGCGGCGGACGGGUGAGUAAUGCCUAGGGAUCUGCCCAGUCGUGGGGGAUAACAGUUGGAAACGACUGCUAAUACCGCAUACGCCCUACGGGGGAAAGGAGGGGACCUUCGGGCCUUUCGCGAUUGGAUGAACCUAGGUGGGAUUAGCUAGUUGGUGAGGUAAUGGCUCACCAAGGCGACGAUCCCUAGCUGUUCUGAGAGGAUGAUCAGCCACACUGGGACUGAGACACGGCCCAGACUCCUACGGGAGGCAGCAGUGGGGAAUAUUGCACAAUGGGGGAAACCCUGAUGCAGCCAUGCCGCGUGUGUGAAGAAGGCCUUCGGGUUGUAAAGCACUUUCAGUAGGGAGGAAAGGUU
rnacentral:rRNA from 1 species